GGCUAGGUGGCAGAGUGGUUAUGCAGCGGUUUGCAAAACCGUGGACGCCGGUUCGAUUCCGACCCUAGCCUCCA
rnacentral:tRNA from 1 species